rnacentral:ribozyme from 12 species
AAGAGAAGUAAUUGAUCGAAACCAGUAUGCUACGUGAGUCGCCAUUUCUAGACGCUUACGUGUUCUCUUAUUAUUGAAUCUUCAUACUAUCUGGGUAUUUCCUCAUUUUGCGCAAAUCAUAAUUUUAACAGGAUGAUGGAAGAGUUUAGCCGGCGUACUGAGCACAAAAAGAGACAGAAACAGAAGACCAAUGGUUUCUC